rnacentral:rRNA from 1 species
UAGGGAAUCUUCGGCAAUGGACGGAAGUCUGACCGAGCAACGCCGCGUGAGUGAAGAAGGUUUUCGGAUCGUAAAGCUCUGUUGUUAGAGAAGAACGUUGGUAGGAGUGGAAAAUCUACCAAGUGACGGUAACUAACCAGAAAGGGACGGCGAACUACGUGCCAGCAGCCGCGGUAAUACGUAGGUCCCGAGCGUUGUACGGAUUUAUUGGGCGUAAAGCGAGCGCAGGCGGUUCUUUAAGUCUGAAGUUAAAGGCAGUGGCUUAACCAUUAUACGCUUUUGAAACUGGAGGACAUGAGUGCAGAAGGGGAGAGAGGAAUUCCAUGUGUAGCGGUGACAUGCGUUGUUAUAUGGAGGAACACCGGUGACGCAAGCGGCUCGCUGGUCUGUAACUGACGCUGAGGCUCGAAAGCGUGGGGAGCAAACAGG